rnacentral:snoRNA from 1 species
GCUGGAGGAGGAACCCAGAUGACGAGUCGUAUGCGAGCUUCUCGAUGCCGACACUAUAUUUUUUUUACCAUUCAUGCAUUUCUGACA